rnacentral:rRNA from 1 species
AGAGUUUGAUCAUGGCUCAGGAUGAACGCUAGCUACAGGCUUAACACAUGCAAGUCGAGGGGAAACGACAUCGAAAGCUUGCUUUUGAUGGGCGUCGACCGGCGCACGGGUGAGUAACGCGUAUCCAACCUGCCCACCACUUGGGGAUAACCUUGCGAAAAGUAAGACUAAAUACCCAAUGACGUCUCUAGAAGACAUCUGAAAGAGAUUAAAGAUUUAUCGGUGAUGGAUGGGGAUGCGUCUGAUUAGCUUGUUGGCGGGGUAACGCCCACCAAGGCGACGAUCAGUAGGGGUUCUGAGAGGAAGGUCCCCCANAUUGGAACUGAGACACGGUCCAAACUCCUACGGGAGGCA